GCGGCGGACGGGUGAGUAACACGUGGGCAACCUGCCCUGCAGACUGGGAUAACUUCGGGAAACCGGAGCUAAUACCGGAUAACACCGAAAACCGCAUGGUUUUCGGUUGAAAGGCGGCUUUUAGCUGUCACUGCAGGAUGGGCCGCGACGGCGCAUUAUCUAGUUGGUGAGGUAACGGCUCACCAAGGCGACUAUGCGUAUCCGACCUGAGAGGGUGACCGGCCACACUGGGACUGAGACACGGCCCAGACUCCUACGGGAGGCAGCAGUAGGGAAUCUUCCGCAAUGGACGAAAGUCUGACGGAGCAACGCCGCGUGAGCGAAGAAGGUCUUCGGAUCGUAAAGCUCUGUUGUCAGGGAAGAACAAGUACCGUUCGAACAGGGCGGUACCUUGACGGUACCUGACGAGGAAGCCACGGCUAACUACGUGCCAGCAGCCGCGGUAAUAC
rnacentral:rRNA from 1 species